rfam:Helicobacter sp. CLO-3 strain HMC1 NODE_49, whole genome shotgun sequence.
GGAUCUUUAGCUCAGCUGGUCAGAGCACUCGGCUCAUAACCGAUUGGUCGUAGGUUCAAAUCCUACAAGAUCCA